AUAGGAGACAAGAAGGCAUCUUCUUGUUUUUAAAAGACCUAGCAAUAGGUAUGCUUAGGGAGGGGCUUGCGUCACAUUAGUUAGUUGGUGGGGUAAAGGCCUACCAAGACUAUGAUGUGUAGCCGGGCUGAGAGGUUGAACGGCCACAUUGGGACUGAGACACGGCCCAAACUCCUACGGGAGGCAGCAGUAGGGAAUUUUCGGCAAUGGAGGAAACUCUGACCGAGCAACGCCGCGUGAACGAUGAAGUAUUUCGGUACGUAAAGUUCUUUUAUUAGGGAAGAAUAAAUGAUGGAAAAAUCAUUCUGACGGUACCUAAUGAAUAAGCCCCGGCUAACUAUGUGCCAGCAGCCGCGGUAAUACAUAGGGGGCAAGCGUUAUCCGGAAUUAUUGGGCGUAAAGGGUGCGUAGGCGGUUAAAUAAGUUUAUGGUCUAAGUGCAAUGCUCAACAUUGUGAUGCUAUAAAAACUGUUUAGCUAGAGUAAGAUAGAGGCAAGUGGAAUUCCAUGUGUAGUGGUAAAAUGCGUAAAUAUAUGGAGGAACACCAGUAGCGAAGGCGGCUUGCUGGGUCUUUACUGACGCUGAGGCACGAAAGCGUGGGGAGCAAACAGGAUUAGAUACCCUGGUAGUCCACGCCGUAAACGAUGAGUACUAAACGUUGGGUAAAACCAGUGUUGAAGUUAACACAUUAAGUACUCCGCCUGAGUAGUACGUACGCAAGUAUGAAACUUAAAGGAAUUGACGGGACUCCGCACAAGCGGUGGAUCAUGUUGUUUAAUUCGAAGGUACCCGAAAAACCUCACCAGGUCUUGACAUGCUUCUGCAAAGCUGUAGAAACACAGUGGAGGUUAUCAGUUGCAYAGGUGGUGCAUGGUUGUCGUCAGCUCGUGUCGUGAGAUGUUGGGUUAAGUCCCGCAACGAGCGCAACCCUUAUUGUUAGUUACCAGCACGUAAUGGUGGGGACUUUAGCAAGACUGCCAGUGAUAAAUUGGAGGAAGGUGGGGACGACGUCAAAUCAUCAUGCCCCUUAUGACCUGGGCUACAAACGUGAUACAAUGGCUGUUACAAAGGGUAGCUGAAGCGCAAGUUUUUGGCRAAUCUCAAAAAAACAGUCUCAGUUCGGAUUGAAGUCUGCAACUCGACUUCAUGAAGUUGGAAUCGCUAGUAAUCGCGAAUCAGCAUGUCGCGGUGAAUACGUUC
rnacentral:rRNA from 1 species